GGUGCUGAAGUCAAAAACUAAGGAGCUACCCAUCUGACAGCUUGCAUAUUCUCGGAGAGGCCACCUGGGAGGAAAGAGGGGAACAUGCAGGCUGGGGAGGAAGAGAGGAGCCACGUGUCCCAAGCGAAGCACUUGAGUUCCAUCUCACAGGCUGUCUGAGGUCCGAGGUGGCAUUUGGGCAGGGAGGAGAUCAGUUUAUAAAAGGUUCACGUGGGGGACAGAAGGGAAGACAGCGUGGUUAGAGAGAGAGAAGAGUUUCAGGUUAGAGGAGCUAGGAGAGGGGACAGUAGUUAUGAGAGAAGAUGGUGACAAACUAGACAGGGAGAAUGAUUGAUGUGAGGAAAAACUAGACUCGAGAGACAGCUGAGCAGUAGUAUUUUAGGUUUCAGAGUCGGCCCUCCUGUUGUCACCAUGGGUCACUGCUGAUGAGGAGCUGAACUGAAUGGAGCAUUUGGUAUUUUCCCUUGGAAACAAGGCUGCAGUGAUAGUUGGAUUGUGUCAACUUGAGUAAGAAACUGCCAGCUAAACUGGAUCAGUGCAGUUGUGAGUGAGGCUGAGGGCAUUAUGGAGGACAGGAGAGCCACGCUAGGCUGGCUUGUCACCUGAGUGGUACAAAAGCGAAACGAGGGAGGAAGGCUCGCUUCUGUUUCUUUGGAGGAGCUCCAGUCUUUGCCUUCCCCUCGGACGUCAUCUCCUGGCUUCCGGUGCAGACUCUCUGGCCUCCUGAUAGGGACUCGCACGGGACACUGCAGGGAGCUCCAGGCCUUCAGCUGGACCUUUCAGAUCCCCAGUGCACAGACGGACCUUUUGCACUCUUCGACCCCCGACUCUGUGUUCGGCCACUGGCCUAAGCACAGAGUAGGUGCUCAAAGAUUUGCUGAAUGAAUUAAUUAAUAGGUAAAAUAUAUUCCCCCAAACACUUUCUCCCUGGAGAAGUGGACGUGGACGUGCAAGGCCUGUGGCCCAAGAAGUGGAAGGGGCGAGUAACAUGGGGAGCUCCCUGGAUGGGGGAGAUCAGGAGCCCGAGUGCAGCGGGGGACCUGGGGAGCAGAAACCCACCCUCCUUUGGUCCCUGAGGGCUGGCAGAAUUAGCUAAUGCUUGGGAAUGAAUACAAGUAGAGACUUUUGGCAUAAAAUAGAAAAAUGCCAGACAUGGCAAGCUGUACUGAAUGGAAGAGGCAGUGCAGUGUUACACAUGCUGCUUCCACAGGUGGGGUCACUGUGGUCACCCCAGUGAUGUCCCAUGGGCAGAUACUCAGCCUUUUUGUGACUAAAACUGGACUCCGUGCAGCACACUUUUUCCCUUAGUGACACAGAGCUUGCUACCAAAGGGAGAAAUUUGUUGCCCAAAACGCUCUUCCCAGUAUUCCAGGGGGAAUGG
rnacentral:lncRNA from 1 species